GCAGUGGUGGCCGAGUGGUUAAGGCGUGAGUCUCCCGAUCUCAUUCUGUAAUGGAGCGUGGGUUCGAAUCCCAUCCACUGCA
rfam:Caenorhabditis remanei strain PB4641 contig10.63, whole genome shotgun sequence.